ACGAAAACAUGGCGUUGAAGUAUCACGGCACAUGUAGAUUGAUAUUACGAAUAAAAUUCAAGAUUUAUUAAGUGAAUAAGAUUUACAUGCGAUAUACGGCUUGUCUGUAUACAACUAUUUAGUGAAAUUUGUGAAUUUCUGCAAAAAGGUAAAAGCAAUCCAUAUAAUAAUAUGUAUGUAUUAAAUGUUGUGUCAAUGUUGGUCUGUAUCUUAUUAUAACAGGGUGCUGUUACAGCAGUUGUACCAAGUACAAUCAAAGGAAAUUGAAAAAAAAUGAACUUGCCAAGGUAGAAAUGAAUCCAAUAUAUAUUAAAAGAAAUAUGUAAAAAUAUAAAUAAAAUAAAUUGUAAUAUCCAAUAAAAUAUUAUAAGCAAAUAUAGUAAUAACACAAUUAACACAUUUAA